CGUGCACACGUGACGACGCCGUCACGUACGUGCGUUCAACGUGCGCGUGUGUGCGGCGGCGGUGCACGUGUGCGCGU